UACGGGGGGAGCAAGCGUUGUUCGGAUUUACUGGGCGUAAAGGGCGCGUAGGCGGUCAGCACAAGUCAGUUGUGAAAUCUCCGGGCUUAACUCGGAAAGGUCAACUGAUACUGUGCGACUAGAGUGCAGAAGGGGCAACUGGAAUUCUCGGUGUAGAGGUGAAAUUCGUAGAUAUCAAGCGGAACACCGGUGGCGAAGGCGGCCUUCUGGACAGUGACUGACGCUGAGACGCGAAAGCGUGGGGAGCAAACAGG
rnacentral:rRNA from 1 species